rnacentral:rRNA from 1 species
GAUGAACGCUGGCGGCGUGCCUAAUACAUGCAAGUCGAGCGAACAGACGAGGAGCUUGCUCCUCUGACGUUAGCGGCGGACGGGUGAGUAACACGUGGAUAACCUACCUAUAAGACUGGGAUAACUUCGGGAAACCGGAGCUAAUACCGGAUAAUAUAUUGAACCGCAUGGUUCAAUAGUGAAAGACGGUUUUGCUGUCACUUAUAGAUGGAUCCGCGCCGCAUUAGCUAGUUGGUAAGGUAACGGCUUACCAAGGCAACGAUGCGUAGCCGACCUGAGAGGGUGAUCGGCCACACUGGAACUGAGACACGGUCCAGACUCCUACGGGAGGCAGCAGAAGGGAAUCUUCCACAAUGGGCGAAAGCCUGACGGAGAAACGCCGCGUGAGUGAUGAAGGACUUCGGAUCGUAAAACUCUGUUAUUAGGGAAGAACAAAUGUGUAAGUAACGAUGCACGUCUUGACGGUACCUAAUCAGAAAGCCACGGCUAACUACGU